AUGGAUAAAAGUUGAAGCAAAAACAACAAAACGUAUGACUUUAUUAGUUUAUUCAAGUUUUGUUUUCUGUUUUGUAGCUCACCGUAUGGCAACAAUGUUUAUGUCUCUCCGCUUGCUAAUCGAGGCUAAAUAGUCGCUGAAGAUCGCCAAAUAGGACUAAUUAGUCUUCCUUUUUGUGUUUUCAUAUUCUUCAGAAAACCUUGCCAAAUCAGCGUCGAAAACAUCAACAAAAUGUCGAGAAGUUGUCAUAUUGUAUAUUCAAAACAGAAACGGCAAAAUGGCGGGAGUUAGCGUGAUUCCCGCGCGAGACGUUCCCGCGUAAGAUAUGAUUUCAUAUUUCACUAUAGUGAAAUACAGAAAAUAUCAGUGGCGUAUUUUACGGUAUUUUAC